GCAGGGCCAGCAGCGGAGGCUGAGAGGGGCCCAGCUCAGCUGGUCUUUAAUUCAGUGCAGAGCAUCUUGGACAUCGAGAAGGCAGCAAUAAGAAGCUCGCCGGCCACUGUGUACACACAGGAGCAUGGAGCAUAAUGGAGUGACACCGGCUACCCUCUCCUUAGUUCUCAUGUUUGGAGAGUUGAUGAAGCUUCUCUGGCAUCCAGGAGGAUAAAAAGGACAGAGCAAAGGAAUUCAACCUGGCUGACUUCAAGAGACUAAAGAAAAUUUAAGACUCAAGAGUCUCCACAUGAUUGAGAAGUCAGAGAGGUGUAUGGGGAAGUCCUCUUGCCUGGAAGCCAGAUAACCUGGAUUCACUUCCAAGUUUACCCCUGACUUCCUUGUGAAGACAUGGCGAGAAGUUGGUCAUCUACCAGCCAGGAAGAGAGCCCUCACCAAGAACCCAAGCAUGCUGGUACCCUAAUCUCAGCCUUCCAGCCUCCAGAACUGCAAUUUUCCUGUGUGUUGGUGAGCCGAAAUCUACAUGUCAUCAACCAAUUGGAUUGGAUGAAAUCCAAAGAAUGAACUAUUAGAUAGCCUCAGCCUCGGCCACAGCCCAGGAAUUCAAGCGCAAGUGGAAGUGGGAACUCAGCUUGUCUCAACGUCAAUAAACAUGUCUUUAUAAUGAAAGACAAGACUUGUUUGCCAGACCUAUAAGGAAAACAUAUCUGUUUUGUGUACUGCAGAAAACUGGUCCAUGGACAGUGUCACUAAAUGAAGGC
rnacentral:lncRNA from 1 species